CCUACGGGGGGCUGCAGUGGGGAAUAUUGCACAAUGGGCGCAAGCCUGAUGCAGCCAUGCCGCGUGUGUGAAGAAGGCCUUCGGGUUGUAAAGCACUUUCAGCGGGGAGGAAGGCGUUAAGGUUAAUAACCUUGGCGAUUGACGUUACCCGCAGAAGAAGCACCGGCUAACUCCGUGCCAGCAGCCGCGGUAAUACGGAGGGUGCAAGCGUUAAUCGGAAUUACUGGGCGUAAAGCGCACGCAGGCGGUCUGUCAAGUCGGAUGUGAAAUCCCCGGGCUCAACCUGGGAACUGCAUUCGAAACUGGCAGGCUAGAGUCUUGUAGAGGGGGGUAGAAUUCCAGGUGUAGCGGUGAAAUGCGUAGAGAUCUGGAGGAAUACCGGUGGCGAAGGCGGCCCCCUGGACAAAGACUGACGCUCAGGUGCGAAAGCGUGGGGAGCAAACAGGAUUAGAGACCCCUGUAGUC
rnacentral:rRNA from 1 species